AACAAACGCUGGCGGCGUGCCUAACACAUGCAAGUCGUACGAGAAAGUCGGCUUCGGCCGGUGAGUAAAGUGGCGCACGGGUGAGUAACGCGUGGAUAAUCUGCCCUCCGGUCAGGAAUAACCAAUCGAAAGGUUGGCUAAUACCCGAUCACACUCUUGCACUGCGGUGCAAUAGUCAAAGAUGGCCUCUGUAUACAAGCUAUCGCCGGGGGAUGAGUCCGCGUACCAUUAGCUGGUUGGUGGGGUAAUGGCCUACCAAGGCGAUGAUGGUUAGCUGGUCUGAGAGGAUGGCCAGCCACACUGGAACUGAGACACGGUCCAGACUCCUACGGGAGGCAGCAGUGAGGAAUCUUGCGCAAUGGGGGAAACCCUGACGCAGCAACGCCGCGUGAGUGAGGAAGGCCCUCGGGUCGUAAAGCUCUGUCAGGUGGGAAGAAUCGAUGAAGGUGAACACUCCAUCCUGACGUACCACCAGAGG
rnacentral:rRNA from 1 species